UUCACCGUGUUAGCCAGGAUGGUCUUGAUCUCCUGACCUUGUCAUCUGCCCACCUCAGCCUCCCAAAGUGCUGGGAUCAUAGGCGUGAGCCACCGCACCCGGCCCUUAAUCCAGCUUUCAAAGCUGGCUGUCUCUCACUGACCUCAGCUCCAGUCAUUCCUUGCUUCCACCCCUGGCCUCCCAUGCUCAGCCACCCUAAACCACUGAAGCCCUAGACCAUCCAUCUGGCUCCUGUACUUGGGUGCAUCUGAUCCUGUGUCCUGGAAGGCACCGACUCUAACACCUUCCGGGUCAAGGGGCCUCCUUGUUUGGUGCUGCCCCACCCCCAACCCUGUCAGCGCUAGAGUCCUCUCUUCCACAGGGCGGAUCACACUGGGUCCCGCUGUUCCCUCGUCUGCCUCCCCACCAGACCAAGCUCCAAGCUGCCAGGGGCCUCGUCUCCAUCUGGGUCCCAGUUCCCACCAUAGAGCUGGGCAUGGAGGAUAGCUCAGGGAAGCUUCUUGGGAAACGAAUUCUGGGAAUUCUCUCUGCCAAGGACCUGCCAUGCUAAAAGCCUUAAGGUAUAGACCAAGAGAAAUGGCAGCAUCUGUCCACACAAAAACUUGUACAUGAAUGUUCACAGCAGCAAUAACAGCCAAAAAGUGGGAACAAUCCUAAUGUCUACCAACUGACGAACAGAUGGAGUUUUGCUCUUGUUGCCCAGCCUGGAAUGCAAUGACAUGAUCUCAGCUCACCG